GGCCAGCCUAGACCUAUAAUAGGAAGACUUCUUGGACACUGAUCAGUCACUGUCUUCUUCUUCUAGAAUAUUUUGACAUUUUGACAUAAAACUUGGAAAUGUAGGCCCUAGACAAAAAAAGUUUAUUUUCAUAUGUACCUAGGCCUACUAGCCUAGGCAUAGGCUAAUAAUACGCUUGACUGUAGGCCUAUGCCUAGAAAUUAUAUCCAAUAUGGCAUAGCCUAGGCCUAUCAACAAAGUAAAUAUAAAACAGAAACAUAAUCUUGAAUAAGACAAUUUAUGCCCAUGUCAUUUAACCUCAACCUGAUAUUAUUAAUUAACCAACUGGGUAAGGGAGUGUUCAGAAAUACUUGUUGUUGGGGGAGGGGCGAGGGUUUCUAAGUAAUGUGAAACAAAAUCCUUUUGGGUCCUGAAAAACGAAUUGAAAAAUAAAAUUGCACUUAAGGAAGGGGAUUAAUACAAUUAAGAAAUAUUAGCUUUUCUACAUAUAACUUAAAUAAGACUGAUAAUUUAAGAUGCCCUCUAAGUGCUUUUAUGGUAAAACUUCCCAAAACGUUAUGUUAUGUUAUUUAUGGUAAAAUUUUUCUAAACGAUGGUACUGUGUUUGGACAUACAGUACCGUUUUGUUUAGCGUUUCGGCAAGUUUUACCAUAAAGGCUACGAUUUGAAUUCAAAUGAUGUUGAGUGCCAUAGCUUCUGAUGAGUUGCACUCCUAAAUUUGGUAUAAAAACAUACAUUAUAAUUAAGCAUUGCACUAUCUGGAAAAUAAUUUCCUGCCUUUCUUCCUUUACUUUGCUUUUGUGUAUUCAUUGAUUAAAAAAAUACUUUGAACUUUUUCUUAGCAUUGUUUUAAUCUUUCUAUCAAACUAAAGGAAAGUAAUUCGACAUGGACUAAAUUUGAUUGUUAAUUAAUGGAAAAUUUGGCAUGUAAAAUAAGUUCAACAUAGAAAUUAUUUGACCUUGGAAAGUUUGAAUGUAUAUUCAAUUCCUAUCCAUGGUUCACUUACUUUACUACUAGUUCACCUGUAUACCAAGGCCUGUGAUGUGCCUUCUUUAUCCAAGUGGCCUUUACCUUACCAAGUACAGUACCUGUAUUACCACAUGAUGUGGAAGAUCUUUUGAAACACCAGGACAAGUCGGUGUUGUCAAGGUGGUAUUAUCGUAAGAUUAUACAAAGUUUAUUUGAAGACAUGAUACAAUUUACUCUAUAUUCAACAACAGCUGAGUAUACUGAGGUAGCCAGAGCUAGUUACCAAGUUUAAGAUCUUAGAAGAUAAAUCUGGAAAUUCAACAGGACAUGAAAAUACGUCAGGAGAAAACCAAGCCAGCAUCAAGCAUGUAACAGAUUUAAUGGACCUUUCAAAGAAGUGUAACCCAGACUAGAACAUUAUGGCCGAUAAACUAGAGCGUACAAAGGAAUAUCGUUUAAAAUAUAUUGCCGAGUACUCUGUGAAAGACGUGUUGGCGAAAUUUCCUUUUCUUAAACUAGAAAAUGAGGUAAUAAUUAAAUAUCCAAAUCAAUUAUGUAGCAUGUCAAUAAUGAUUGAGACAAAUAAUUCCAUAAAAAGGAAUGGAAAUGGCCUAUAGUUAUUGAGAAUAUAAUGCUGGGGGAUUACACUUUUCCCAUCUACUAUUAAAGCUUUGUUCCACUUAAAAAGAAGCAGAACUGGCAUUAUUCAUGAAGGAAAUGCUUUUUCAGAACUCUUGUAUUCUUCCUCAUGGAAAUACCAGUACCAUUUUAAAAUGACAAUAUGGUGAAUUAUUUCAUGGAGAGAAUAGAAAAAAAUAUAUAUAAAAAGCCAAUUUUUGAGGAUCUACACUACAGUAGAAGAAAACAGUUUCUUGUCUCAUUGCAUCACAAUACUGUAAUAAUAUAUUCCUAGGUGUACAGACUAAAAAAAAACGUCCAUCCAAUUUAGAAACUGAAAGGCAUAGAGGGUCCUGGUCACUGACACCUUGUCUGGUAUUACAUAGACAUAUAUUCCAUACAAAAGAUUAAGCCAGUAUGGUUACCACAAUGCAUACUUUUACAGAGUAUUAAUAUGUUAAGCCAGUGUGAUGAUUACCACAAAGCAUACAGUGUAUUAGAGUUAAUAAGAUGGUUAUCACAACAAUUGUACGCAAAAAAAUGGACAGUGGGGUGGGGUAGGGGAGCCUCCAUCAGGGAGAAAAAAAAAUCAGGAAAAAAUUUGUCAGGUAAAAGAAAAAUCUUUUCAAAAUACAAACCUUUCAGUUUCUAAAUUGGAUGGACGUUUUUUUUUUAGUCUGUACACCUAGGAAUAUAUUAUUACAUUAUUGUGAUGCAAUGUAUAGUAUUGGGUAUUUAAGACUGGCUUUCAUAAUAUUAGGCCAAUGUCAAUAUGACCGGAUACAAGAACAGUAGAUCAUUCAGAAUGCAUGUAAAGACCUUAAACUUGGGUAGGACUCGUAGCCUACAUGCUCAGCAAAAUAAUUCAUAAUGUUGAGAAUUUUUUUAAUUAUUAUUAUUCAUUUAUUUAUUUAUUUUUUUUUUUUUUUAUAAUUUUCAUAUUUUUUUUAUAUUUUUUUAUUUAUUUAAAUAAUUCACAGUAUUGUCAUUUUAAAAUUUAGGACUCAGUCCUUAAUAAACUAUGGUGGGUAUGGAUGUAAAUAAAUCAGGCAGUAUGAAUGCUAUUCACAAACCUCUGUACCUUUACAGGUGUUUGCAAAUCUCUGCCCAAUGCAGCAAUAUACUGUUGAAAGUAAAUGAGACUAUUUUUUGCUGCCUUAUGGGAUAAUCAAUGCCAUUAAUAUUGUAGCAAUAAAACAUGAUGGCCAUUUUCUUAUGUAUAUAAUACCUACUGUACUGUAUAUAGGCCUAUUUCGGUUAUGCUUUGCAGUUUCACACCACAACACCUCCAUACCGCCAUCACAACAUUUUUUUUGGUACGGUAUGUCAUGCCUUGUUGGCUCAAGUAUGUGUGAGAUUGUAGAUUUCACACCACAACCUCGCAUUCACUCCAGCACCAGCAUUUCCCUAGCCUAUAGCUACCUCAUUUCAGAAGUGAAUUCCAGAUAUAGAAUGCAAAUUCUAUUUUUCAAGCUUUCCUAUUUUUAUUUUUAAGGUAGGGAUUUAUUUUAUACUAGAAAAACUGUAACAUAUCCAGUGAAUAGAUGAUGCAUUAUAUUUGUCCUCUAAUAAUUACUUGUAAUAACUGACCAUAGAAGUGUUUGUCAUAUUAGUUAAGUAAUACGUUUUUAUCCGAAUAAACAUUUGAAUUGUUAAUGCUGCUUUGUUUGUGCUUUUAUUCUUGACACAGGUGAAAAUUAGCAUUCAUAGAAUAGUGUAAUGCAGUGUAAUGGGUAUGUAAGCCAAGUAAUCAUUCUUAAUUCCCAACCACUACCCAGUACAUAUUUACUACUAAUUGUUGAAUGUUGAACUUGUGUAGUGUUUAUAAGGUGCUGAUGUGAACCAGCUAAUGUUCUGAUGUGAACCUGCUAAAGUGCUGAUGUGAACCACCUUCUGUCAAUCAUGUCAUAAUUAAAGGGUACAAUUUAGAACCCCAAAGGAGCAUUACUGUACCAUAUAAUGGGGUGCAAGGUUGCACCUUUAUUUAGAGGUACAAUUGUGCACCUUAAAAGGUGGCUGUGGUGUUGCAUCGUUUUGUACCUUUUUAAGUAGAUAUUUGCACCUUUUUUUUUAACAGUGUAGGGAUUGGGUGGUGUACCGCCAGAUGGUAAGAAGGAUGGCACCGCCAGCUGAACUACUGAGCCAAGCGUAGCAAACUACAGUUUUAACUGCUCACUCAGCUACUCUACGAAGAAGGGGUAACUGUCUCCAUCACAUCAGAGUUGGUCUUCAGAGAGGACGUAACAAGAUUGGAGUCUAAACGAUCCGCAUCAGCAAAUGUCAGAUUAAACCGGCUUUGGAACCAAUACCGCGCUGGUGAGCGUGAUGUCCGAUCAAUGAUGAUCAGUGCCAGCAAACUCAUCAAGUUUUCGACGAAAAUAAAUGUAAUAAAAAUAAAUGUGAUGAAUGAUGCAGUUAUUGUACUAUGUAAUACUGUUUUUAUAUCAGUUCUUAAUAUAUUUUAGAUUUAAGUUUAUGCAUUAUCAUAUUGUGCAGUACUACAGUGCCAGCAGACUCAUCAAGUUUUCGACGAAAUAAAUGUAAUAAAAAUAAA